UUACGUUUUUAAGUCAAUUUCAAGUGUUUUAGCAAUCCCUCCUAAUCCUCGGCCUAGAACGAUCCCUACUUACAUUCUUUACUACAAUUGACAACAAGAGGGUUUAAUUUGUGUGUUAAAAUAAUUCAUCGCGCCAUAAGGCCCCAUGCUUUUGGCCUAUAACGAUGUUGUUUUCACAAAGGAAGACUUUGUAAGUAUUUCGAGGAUCGGCGAGAGUAGCAAGCAUGGCCAGGCCUAAAAAGCUGGCCGAUUCGGGUAAUUCCUUUUCCAUUUUCCUUAAUUUCUGUGUAAUGCUUGCUGUUGCCGAGAAAUUGAGACUUAGGGUUAUGAUUUUCUUUAAUUUUUGUGUAAUUUUCAGGGUUGGGUUCAACUAGUGUGCCAUUUGAUUGAUUCAAUUUACCGAUUUGAACAAUUUGGUUAUAUGUGAGAUUGAUUUGAUGUAGUUUUGUGUGUAAGAGUAAUGGGUUCUGUUAGAAACUAUGGAUCUGGGAUUUCAUGGUUUGCUUAUUUUGGGACAUGCAUGGAAGAAUCAUUAACAUGUGCGGAGUAUAUACAUUGAUUUAGUUGUGUUUAAGCACAUGCAGUGCAUAAAUGUUUGUAGGAUUUGUUUUGUUUUUUUUUUUUUUGUGUUUUGAGUAGUGUAAAUGAGUGUCUAAAAUGGUUGGUUUGGUUUUGCUUCUGCUUCUGCUCAAUAAAUUGGUGCUAUUCCAAAGCUGAAAAAAAAAAAGUAAUUGGAUCCAUGGAGCCGUCCCGAACUAGCCCAUUUGAAACGGGCCGGGUUAGGUUUGGUUCCCAAAUUCAAAAUCCUUCGACCCGGCCCUGCCCGGCCCAUUACAUUUUAAAAUGGGUAGGACCAGGUUCCUCCAAAGUUAGGCUCAGCUCGGCCAGUGCCCAGCCCUAAUUCUAAAGGCUAAAAGGACAUAAGCCAGAAAGAAAAGAAAGAUUACAUAAGGAUAUCAUGAGGUCACGAGAGUCUAGCUAUAUCUGCAACUAGCAACUGAUGACAAGAAAGAGGAGCUUGCUCAAAAAAGACUAGACCCAAACUGCAUGACAAACUCAAACGAGCCAAAUCAUCAACAACAAAAUUCUUUUCAUGAUAGAUAUGACGAAUUUCACAAGACUAACUUUGGUUCAUAAGGGCAUGACAAUUCAGUACUAACUUCCCAGAUGGUGAUUAUCCACUUUUGCAUUUGAAAUCAAUUGAACCGCAAGUGCAGAAUCUGAUUCUACCAUAAUCUUCUUAAUUCCAUAAUUCCAUGCAAGUUGUAGCCCAAUAAAAGCAGCCCAAACUAAAUCUCACCUAAACCAAGAUUAGCACAAAAACCAGAAACCUAUAUGCACCAGAAAAUGCCACGUGGCACAAAAUCUUUUUCAAAAAAAAAUUUACUGAUGGAUAUUCAAUGGUCUUGAUCAACAAACAGUUGGAAAUCCAAAGGAUGUGGCACACCCAAAUUUGAGUUAUGGCUUGCUUCGAUGCAUGUGGGUGGGGCUAGCCAAUUGCCAGCAGGCUCAAGGCCCAACAAUUGUUGCAAGGGCAGUCCAACGAGCAUCUUAGAGCCCACCAAUUACCUGACCAAUUUGGGUUAAGGACAAUUUAACCCAAUUCCAUGUGGGUUGGGCCACCGCUAGACUUGCUCUUACCGCCUAUAAGCUCCAAAAUGUACCACUUUCAUCGAUUUCCGUCUAAAGUUGUAUGAGAAAAGCUUCAUAAGUAGAUGUCGUGCACCAGGGGCAUUCCUAGGACAUUUUUGCAUUUUAAAACCUCUAGUUUACUUGUCGAUUCAUGGUAAAAUUGUGUUAACUAGAGCUCGUCAACACAAUAUAACUGUUCUUGUUUGAAGAUGCUUUUGGUAGAGCUACAAGCUUUUCCUAAUAGUAUAAUAAUGUAAUACUUGAAAGAAAU